AAUGGGGCACCUGAUCUAGCCAUGCCGCGUGAGUGAUGAAGGCCCUAGGGUCGUAAAGCUCUUUCGCCAGGGAUGAUAAUGACAGUACCUGGUAAAGAAACCCCGGCUAACUCCGUGCCAGCAGCCGCGGUAAUACGGAGGGGGUUAGCGUUGUUCGGAAUUACUGGGCGUAAAGCGCGCGUAGGCGGAUCAGAAAGUUGGGGGUGAAAUCCCGGGGCUCAACCCCGGAACUGCCUCCAAAACUCCUGGUCUUGAGUUCGAGAGAGGUGAGUGGAAUUCCGAGUGUAGAGGUGAAAUUCGUAGAUAUUCGGAGGAACACCAGUGGCGAAGGCGGCUCACUGGCUCGAUACUGACGCUGAGGUGCGAAAGUGUGGGGAGCAAACAGGAUUAGAUACCCUGGUAGUCACA
rnacentral:rRNA from 1 species